CACGUAGGGCGCAAGCGUUGUCCGGAAUUAUUGGGCGUAAAGAGCUCGUAGGCGGUCUGUUGCGUCCGCUGUGAAAACCCGGGGCUUAACCCCUGGCUUGCAGUGGAUACGGACAGACUAGAGGUAGGUAGGGGAGAAUGGAAUUCCCGGUGUAGCGGUGAAAUGCGCAGAUAUCGGGAGGAACACCGGUGGCGAAGGCGGAUCUCUGGGCCAUUACUGACGCUGAGGAGCGAAAGCGUGGGGAGCGAACAGG
rnacentral:rRNA from 1 species